CGGAGGAUCCAAGCGUUGUCCGGAUUCACUGGGUUUAAAGGGUGCGUAGGCGGAGAAUUAAGUCAGUGGUGAAAGCUUACAGCUUAACUGUAAAAAUGCCAUUGAAACUGAUUUUCUUGAGUUCGAUUGAGGUAGAUGGAAUGUAUCAUGUAGCGGUGAAAUGCUUAGAUAUGAUACAGAACACCAAUUGCGAAGGCAGUCUACUAAGUCGAUACUGACGCUGAGGCACGAAAGCAUGGGGAGCAAACAGGAUUAGAUACCCUGGUAGUCCAUGCCCUAAACGUUGAUUACUCGUUGUUGGCGAUACACUGUCAGCGACUAAGCGAAAGCGUUAAGUAAUCCACCUGGGGAGUACGAUCGCAAGGUUG
rnacentral:rRNA from 1 species